ensembl:snRNA U6 U6 spliceosomal RNA
GUGCUCAAAUUUGCAGCACAUAUACUAAAAUUGGAAUAAUACAGAAAAGCUAAGCAAUGGCUCCUGUACAAGGACGACACAUAAAUUUGUGAAGCAUGCCAUUAUUUU